AAAAUGCGAGGAAAGGGGCUCUCUCAUUUGACCUUGAAUUUACCUUGCCAGGAUCCUUUUGAGUCCUCUUUCAGGGGCUUUUCAAACUUUGAAUCAAAACCCGCUGUGAGAAAUAGCUUAACAACUCCAGGUGCAGAGGAGACUGGGCUUGGGCCAUGUGACUUGUACAGCCAACAGGACAUCAGCAAACAUGAUGUAGAGACUUGAUAAGCGUU